rnacentral:rRNA from 2 species
UACGUAGGGGGCGAGCGUUGUCCGGAUUUAUUGGGCGUAAAGAGCUCGUAGGCGGCUCAGCAAGUCGGGUGGGAAAUCUCCAGGCUCAACCUGGAGCCUUCGCCCGAUACUGCUGUGGCUUGAGUCCGGUAGGGGAGUGUGGAAUUCCCGGUGUAGCGGUGAAAUGCGCAGAUAUCGGGAGGAACACCGGCGGCGAAGGCGGCACUCUGGGCCGGUACUGACGCUGAGGAGCGAAAGCGUGGGGAGCAAACAGG